UACGAAGGGUGCAAGCGUUACUCGGAAUUACUGGGCGUAAAGCGUGCGUAGGUGGUGAGUUAAGUCUGAUGUGAAAUCCCCGGGCUCAACCUGGGAAUGGCAUUGGAUACUGGCUCGCUAGAGUGCGGUAGAGGGUGGUGGAAUUCCCGGUGUAGCAGUGAAAUGCGAAGAGAUCGGGAGGAACAUCUGAGGCGAAGGCGGCCACCGGGACCAACACUGACACUGAGGCACGAAAGCGUGGGGAGCAAACAGG
rnacentral:rRNA from 1 species